rnacentral:tRNA from 1 species
CGCGGGGUAGCUCAGCGCGGUAGAGCUUCGGGCUCAUAACCCGGUGGUCGCCGGUUCGACCCCGGCCCCCGCACCCA